rnacentral:tRNA from 1 species
GAACAAAGGGUCUAAUGGAUAAGGCAUCUGCCUACGGAGCCGAAGAUUAUGGGUUCGAAUCCCAUUUGUGUCG